rnacentral:lncRNA from 1 species
GUGGUUAAUUUCCAGAGUUUUGAAAAAGUUUUCUCCUGUUUUCUUUUUUAUUGCUUUUAGAGAAGGGCAAAUUAUCAGAGAUCCUUACUGCAUCAUUUAGCUGAUGUCACCUAACCACAAUAUGUUAAUACAACAAUCAAGAAGGAAGAAGAAGCAACGAAGUCAAUGGCCUCCUCUAAGAAUGUAUCAAGCACCGUGCAUGCAUUGCUUGUUCUUCUAUAUCAUUAGACAAUAUUUAUUGCAGUACGUUUCCUAUCUAGCUCAAGAGAAGUAUUACUACUCAAAGGAUCAAGGAACUGGACUAUGAAAGCAUGGUAAAAUGUCACACAGAAUGGAAUUAAUUCAAAAUCAUGCUCUGAGAAAUGUAUCUGUAUUUUACUUGCCAAUGACCUUGAAGAUAAACAGUGUUUAUGACUUUACUUACAUAAUUACACGUUCUGUUUUGCUGAAAACUUUUUGUUAUGGUUGAUACAUUGUGUCAACUUGGGGAAUCUAGAGGUUUGCUUAAGUGACUCC